GAUGAACGCUGGCGGCGUGCCUAAUACAUGCAAGUCGAGCGAACGGACGAGAAGCUUGCUUCUCUGAUGUUAGCGGCGGACGGGUGAGUAACACGUGGAUAGCCUACCUAUAAGACUGGGAUAACUUCGGGAAACCGGAGCUAAUACCGGAUAAUAUUUUGAACCGCAUGGUUCAAAAGUGAAAGACGGUCUUGCUGUCACUUAUAGAUGGAUCCGCGCUGCAUUAGCUAGUUGGUAAGGUAACGGCUUACCAAGGCAACGAUGCAUAGCCGACCUGAGAGGGUGAUCGGCCACACUGGAACUGAGACACGGUCCAGACUCCUACGGGAGGCAGCAGUAGGGAAUCUUCCGCAAUGGGCGAAAGCCUGACGGAGCAACGCCGCGUGAGUGAUGAAGGUCUUCGGAUCGUAAAACUCUGUUAUUAGGGAAGAACAUAUGUGUAAGUAACUGUGCACAUCUUGACGGUACCUAAUCAGAAAGCCACGGCUAACUACGUG
rnacentral:rRNA from 1 species